CAGCCGCCGCGGGAAUACAGAGGGUGCGAGCGUUAAUCGGAUUUACUGGGCGUAAAGCGUGCGUAGGCGGCUUCUUAAGUCGGAUGUGAAAUCCCUGAGCUUAACUUAGGAAUUGCAUUCGAUACUGGGAAGCUAGAGUAUGGGAGAGGAUGGUAGAAUUCCAGGUGUAGCGGUGAAAUGCGUAGAGAUCUGGAGGAAUACCGAUGGCGAAGGCAGCCAUCUGGCCUAAUACUGACGCUGAGGUACGAAAGCAUGGAGCAAACAGGAUUAGAUACCCCGGUAGUCCCUGUCUCUUAUACAC
rnacentral:rRNA from 1 species